AAGAGAUGCACAGCUGGGCUUUCAGGCACGUAUUUCAUUUAGUCAUCAUGACAACUCUAUGACAGAUGGCUUACUAACAUUACCAUUUAAUGGUAGAAACUGAAACAAUGUGAUAAUGCCGGUGCUCACGUGGCUACAGUGGCCACAGUUCAAGCUCAGAGUCAUUUAUUUCUAAGUCCUUUGCUCAGGUCACUCUUCUAAACUCCUGGAGCAUCGCUCUGAACUUUUUGCUACCUCAGUGUUUCCCACUGGGUCUGAAGUUAGCCUACUGGCCAGCAAGCCCUAGCUACCCUCUUGACUCCACCUCUCUGGGAUUACAGGAUUAUUGGAAUAAGGGUGGAAUAAGGAGUGCCUGCCUAAACCUGUGAAGUAAACUUGUCAUGGAUUAUUCUGUCACAUUACAGGCCAGUUCAGUCCCUUUGGAUAUUCACACUAAGGGAGCUUGUCCAAAAAUUCCCUGAAAGUUAAGAGAGUUUUGCAUGACCCAACCAGUCAUGA
rnacentral:lncRNA from 1 species